rnacentral:misc_RNA from 1 species
AGGAAGUAAAAGUCGUAACAAGGUUUCCGUAGGUGAACCUGCGGAAGGAUCAUUACCUAGAGUUGUAGGCUUUGCCUGCUAUCUCUUACCCAUGUCUUUUGAGUACCUUCGUUUCCUCGGCGGGUUCGCCCGCCGAUUGGACAAUUUAAACCAUUUGCAGUUGCAAUCAGCGUCUGAAAAAACAUAAUAGUUACAACUUUCAACAACGGAUCUCUUGGUUCUGGCAUCGAUGAAGAACGCAGCGAAAUGCGAUAAGUAGUGUGAAUUGCAGAAUUCAGUGAAUCAUCGAAUCUUUGAACGCACAUUGCGCCCCUUGGUAUUCCAUGGGGCAUGCCUGUUCGAGCGUCAUUUGUACCUUCAAGCCUUGCUUGGUGUUGGGUGUUUGUCUCGCCUCCGCGUGUAGACUCGCCUCAAAACAAUUGGCAGCCGGCGUAUUGAUUUCGGAGCGCAGUACAUCUCGCGCUUUGCAUUCAGAACGACGACGUCCAAAAGU